CCAGCUCCCCUGUCUUUUGGAGAACUGCAUCAGAGCUAUGGACUUUCCACAGUUAAUCUACUCAGAGAUAAACCUUGCCUGAAACCAGGCAUUCCAAAUCUAUAAUUAGCAUUAAUUCCUAAAGGAUUUCCCAUGUGAGAACCCCAACUACUUGAACUGUCCCCAUUAGAAUCAAUUCCCCAGCUUCAUUUUCAUGAACUGUAGCUGUAAAAAGUGCAGAGUGGGGGGAUGAGAAAAGCCCAGCCAACCACUUCAACAGCAGCUUGUGUUUACAUCUUCACUCUGCUUGAGACCAUGGACACCAGAGAAAAGCUUGAAGAUGUGAAGCAUGUCCAGCCUGAAGGCCCACAAACCAGAAGGCAAAUAAAGAUCCUGACAUUAUUAUUUUCUUUUUUAAAUCUCAUGAUUUUGAGUGUCAGACUCUUGAUUUUUGCAUGUUUGCGGUUGGCAGUACCACACUAGAAACCCCCCAUUUGUGAGGAGUGUACCUUUAUUUCCAAUUGCUCGGUCUGAUCACCUCUAUGUAGUACAAGUGACUGACAGCAAGGCAGUCGCUGUCUCUAGCAAGGGAGGGCUCAGGUGGGCUUGGUGUAAACAGGGCCAGUGCAAGGAUAUUUUGCGCCCUAGGCGAAACUUCCACCUUGGCGCCCCUCCCCCCCUCCC